rnacentral:rRNA from 1 species
UCUCCUGGAAAACGGGUGGUAAUGCCGGAUGCUCCAGUUGAUCGCAUGGUCUUCUGGGAAAGCUUUCGCGGUAUGGGAUGGGGUCGCGUCCUAUCAGCUUGACGGCGGGGUAACGGCCCACCGUGGCUUCGACGGGUAGCCGGCCUGAGAGGGCGACCGGCCACAUUGGGACUGAGAUACGGCCCAGACUCCUACGGGAGGCAGCAGUGGGGAAUAUUGCACAAUGGGCGCAAGCCUGAUGCAGCGACGCCGCGUGAGGGAUGGAGGCCUUCGGGUUGUAAACCUCUUUUAUCGGGGAGCAAGCGAGAGUGAGUUUACCCGUUGAAUAAGCACCGGCUAACUACGUGCCAGCAGCCGCGGUAAUACGUAGGGUGCAAGCGUUAUCCGGAAUUAUUGGGCGUAAAGGGCUCGUAGGCGGUUCGUCGCGUCCGGUGUGAAAGUCCAUCGCUUAACGGUGGAUCCGCGCCGGGUACGGGCGGGCUUGAGUGCGGUAGGGGAGACUGGAAUUCCCGGUGUAACGGUGGAAUGUGUAGAUAUCGGAAAAAGAACACCA